rnacentral:rRNA from 1 species
GACGAACGCUGGCGGCGUGCCUAAUACAUGCAAGUAGGACGCAGUUGCUAACGGGUGAGUAACGCGUAGGUAACUACCUAUUAGAGGGGGAUAACUAUUGGAAACGAUAGCUAAUACCGCAUACUAGUAGAUGGACCUGCGUUGUAUUAGCUAGUAGGUAGGGUAAUGGCCUACCUAGGCAACGAUACAUAGCCGCGCGUGUAGGGUGAUCGGCCAAACUGGGACUGAGACAAGGCCCGGACUCCGUCGGUAGGCAGCAGUAGGUAAUCUGCGGCAAUGGGGGGCACCCUGACCGAUCAACGCCGCGUGAGUGAAGAAGGGUUUCGGAUCUUAAAGCUCUGUUGUUAAGGAAGCGGUACUUAACCAGAAAGGGACGGCUAACUACGUGCCAGCAGCCGCGGUAAUAC